UUCAUUAUUGGACGAAGAACGUAAGAAGUAAAAACCAACAAUUUGAUUCUAUCUUAAACUCUGCAGUCUGCACAGCUAAAAGUCUAAAACCAAUUUAUGGCUCAAUAAUUCCACUGGUGCUACGCCUCCGAAGAAGCAAAAGAUCUUCGGCUCACUCUACAAAAGUGGUCAAAAGCCCAAAGUUAUCGUAAGAUUAUUUUAACUUGCCGAACAAGUGAAAGGUCAGUGGUCGCAUCUCACUUGUUUAUUUUACGGCAUAGUAAGGUAGGUUGUUUAGCAACAUGCACACAGACGCAUCAUUCACAAAAAGCACCAUUAAUGUGGAACCCAAAUAGUAAACAUUUCUGAUUCUAUUUUGUUGAUAGAUGAUAAUUGCUUGCUUAUGGUGACACAGUUUGCAGUUUGAGAAAACCAUUAUCUAAUUGGUUUUUGAAUCUUGUGCUCAUGCCCAAGAAAGAUGGGUAAGGAUUGG
rnacentral:lncRNA from 1 species